rnacentral:rRNA from 1 species
GACGAACGCUGGCGGCGUGCUUAACACAUGCAAGUCGAACGGAAAGGCCUUUUCGGAGGUACUCGAGUGGCGAACGGGUGAGUAACACGUGGGUGAUCUGCCCUGCACUCUGGGAUAAGCCUGGGAAACUGGGUCUAAUACCGGAUAGGACCGCACUUUAGUGUGUGUGGUGGAAAGUUUUUUCGGUGUAGGAUGAGCCCGCGGCCUAUCAGCUUGUUGGUGGGGUAAUGGCCUACCAAGGCGGCGACGGGUAGCCGGACUGAGAGGUUGGUCGGCCACAUUGGGACUGAGAUACGGCCCAGACUCCUACGGGAGGCAGCAGUGGGGAAUAUUGCACAAUGGGCGCGAGCCUGAUGCAGCGACGCCGCGUGGGGGAUGACGGCCUUCGGGUUGUAAACUCCCUUCGCCAGGGACGAAGCGUUUUGUGACGGUACCUGGAGAAGAAGCACCGGCUAACUACGUG